UCCAAAGAAGGAUCUUUCCUGGUGUUUUCUUUUACUCUCUCUCUGGAUCUGAGGACGCGGGCCAACGAUUCCCUGGCAUGGACUAGGCUCAGCCUACAUCUUGGUUCCCUGACCGGGAAUCUGCCCCACCUCAGAGGGCUGGAGAGAGCCAGGCUCAACCUGGUGGACAGCUCAGAUCGGUGAUUGCAGGCUCCACGCGCGCACCUGCCAAUUUGUGGGGGGAACCAGCCACACCGCUCCAGAGCAAGGACCCAGGUCGAGGGAGGAAAGAGGACUGGCCAGGGAAGGGACUCUGCAGCAGAAAACGGUGAGCUUUUGCUGGAACGCCUUGUGCUUUGGUCGAGCCUCUGCAUCCCUAUGAUGAGGACCCAGAUUGGACCCAGACGCCCAGACAUCGCUCCAGCCUUGUUGGAAGGGACCCAAGAUGCCCAACGCCCACCAGACGACCCGACACCCACCAGACUACAGCCCUGCCUACGUCACUCCGGACGCUGACGCUUGGCACGGCUCCAGGAUCCAGCAUGGAUUGAAAGAGAACAUUUUCACAUUUUCUUUUCUUUCCUUUCGCAUAACUGAACUUUAUUGAAGGUACCUGGGCCUGGUUUGCUUUACGCCACCCCUGCAGAGGAGGGUGUCUAGUGGAUCUUUUCUUUCAGCGUAAUUACACCCCAGCCCACUCUCUAGCACUUACCUAAGCCCUCCCCGUGCAUACAAUGGCUCAAAUACGACUGUGGGUCCCCAUGCUGGUAUUUCUGCUGCCUUUGACCUUUGAAAUGCCAAUACCACUCACAGUGACCAGACAACUGCUGCAAUCGUGGGGGGCCCACCACACAUAUAAUAAGUGGAUUCAGGUUGCUGAGAUGGUUGCGUUCUCUGCAAAUCGGACCAAUUGUGCCGUCUGCACUCUGGCCCCUGUAGAUGCUCUGGGAGGAAUGCCACUCCUCCCUGUGCCUUGGAAUGAAUCCUUGGUUACAACUCCACUUGUUGCCUUCCAGCCUCUGGGCAACCAUUCUUCUUUAUGGAAUCAUUCCGUCCCUUUCCAGGUUCACAGGAUCACUGGCUGCCUUUGUGUCAACAAAUCAAAUGACACAAGUGACGCUCAGACCUAUGUGGGCACUUCCCACUGUGAUCGUACCUUCCCAGCCCCGACUAACAUGUUUGAGUCCGAGGCAGGAACCUUUUCUGGUUCCAAUUUGAUUGCAUGCCUGGCCCGCUUGCUGAGAGGCACCAUAUCUGCCCAUGGUCAGGACGUUUACUGGGUGUGUGGCAGGAAGGCCUAUCAUGCCCUCCCAAGAGGAUGGUAUGGGGUCUGUUUUCCAGCCUACUUAAUACCCCCCAUGUGGAUUCCUGACCAGAUUGCCUCUGCACCCCGUAGAAGGAGGCGUUCGGCUGACCUGGCACCACUUGCAGGUGGCAACUCCCAGAAUUGGGGCAAAAA